AAAUAAACAUUAAAAAAGUAGAAUUACAUAAUCACAAAAGGCAAUGUUUGCAAGGGACUCUGGAUAUCAUCUGGGUGUACCCUAUCAAAAAAAGAAAGCCCAGAUGUGGUAAGUGACCAGCUGAGGGUCCCUCCCCCCAGAGAAAAGUGGGCCCCCCCGUCCCCUCAUCCUGGGCCUGGCACCCGCGGGAUACCUGGUGAGUGCCUGCUCCAUGAGGGGAGAAUAACGAAACGGACUCGUCCCCGGAUGCUACUCCAGGGUUUCCAGGUGACGGGGCUCUUUGAAGGGUCAGGCAGCAUUUUAAAGGUUUCAAGAAAUGAGAUUCUUUUUGUUCAGCUAUUGGGGGACAGGGAACUCUGUGAAGCCUCUCCUGGUUUAUGACUCCAGCUUUUCAAGGUUGUGUCAACUUAACCUAAAAGCAUUUCUGAAUGCCCUGUGAAAAAUCUGUGACCCACAUAAAGAGCAAGAAAAUCAGAACAUGUAACUCUUAGGCCCGCGGGUCUGAUAUUUCUGCUAGGAAAAUGGCAGGGGCCUCAGUGGCAUGGUCCAGUGGAAGGGAGACUCCUGAGACUUUCCUUCUUUCCUUCUUCUAGACUUUCCCAAAGAUUACUCUGAGAUUCCAUUUCUGAAAGAGGAUGCGUAUAGGUGUGAGUGGAAUGUACAAAAUGCCGAAAUAAGUGAAGUUCAACAGGUUGUGUAAACAGUGCCAAAGCCAACCUUUAUGGAGCCCUUACCAUGGGCCAAAUGCUGUUCCCUAUGCUAUACUUGCACGUGCCUAAGAAAACACCCAGGAGGGACGUCCUCUCAGGAUUUCCAAGCACUUCCUGUGUCUCAGUGACUAUGUUUGGUUGGCCAGCGGACGGAUCCCUGCUUUUCAGACAUCAACUAAAAAUGUCAAGCCAGAGGGGUGCCUGGCUGACGCAGCACAAGGGACGCAUGCCUUGAUCUCGGGGUCCUGAAUUCAAGCCCUCCACUGGGCAUAGAGAUUACUCAAAAAAACAAAGGAAGUAACGUCAGUGAGUCAACUUACAACUAGAAUGAUCAGCCUCUGCUUUAGUUUCUAAAAUUUGGUUUUUGUAAAUUAAGUUUCUUGAAGUGGUUACAUGUAUGAAGGAAGAAAAGGAAGAAAGCCA